rnacentral:lncRNA from 1 species
AAUGAAAGAUGCCUAAGUACUUAGAAAAUUUGUUGACCACCUUCAAGUCAUUAAAAUGUGAAGUAUGCAUCAGUUUCAAAUUUUGUUAUCAUUAGCAUAAAUAAGAUCAAGAAGCAGAAAUCAUAAGUAACACCCUCAUUAGCAGGAAACAUUAGGUGUAAAAAAUAACUUUUAUGGAUGGAAAGUAAAGUUGUUGAUAUGCUCUAAGAUAAAAAGUGAGCAAUAACUUAACAUGCUUCAGUGUUUAAUUAAUAUUUGUACACAUUGGUAAGACACUAGACAAAUUAUAAGUGGUCAUAAUUCUCAAGAGAGUGGAAUCUUGAGCUUUUCUUUCUUUCUUUCUCCUUAUUGCAACUCAUUCUUUAAAGAACUACUUU